rnacentral:pre_miRNA from 1 species
ACAUACAACCUGGGGAUAUUAUUAAAAUGCAGAUUAUGAUCUUGUAGCUCUGGGUUGGGGCCCACAAAUCUGCAUUUCUAACAAGCUCUGAGAUGAUGCUGAA